rnacentral:rRNA from 1 species
ACGCACGCUGGCGGCGUGCUUCACACCUGCAAGUCGAACGGAAAGGCCCUGCUUUUGUGGGGUGCUCGAGUGGCGAACGGGUGAGUAACACGUGAGUAACCUGCCCUUGACUUUGGGAUAACUUCAGGAAACUGGGGCUAAUACCGGAUAGGAGCUCCUGCUGCAUGGUGGGGGUUGGAAAGUUUCGGCGGUUGGGGAUGGACUCGCGGCUUAUCAGCUUGUUGGGGGGGUAGUGGCUUACCAAGGCUUUGACGGGUAGCCGGCCUGAGAGGGUGACCGGCCACCUUGGGACUGAGAUACGGCCCAGACUCCUACGGGAGGCAGCGGUGGGGAAUAUUGCACAAUGGGCGGAAGCCUGAUGCAGCAACGCCGCGUGCGGGAUGACGGCCUUCGGGUUGUAAACCGCUUUCGCCUGUGACGAAGCGUGAGUGACGGUAAUGGGUAAAGAAGCACCGGCUAACUACGUG